CCUACGGGGGGCUGCAGUAAGGAAUAUUGGUCAAUGGAGGAAACUCUGAACCAGCCAUCCCGCGUGAAGGAUGAAGGGGCUCUGCCUUGUAAACUUCUUUUGUCUGGGGCGAAAAAGCUCGAUUUAUCGAGAACUGACGGUACCAGAAGAAUAAGCACCGGCUAACUCCGUGCCAGCAGCCGCGGUAAUACGGAGGGUGCAGGCGUUACUCGGUUUCACUGGGUUUAAGGGGUGCUAGGGCGUCAUAGUAGAAAGGCUGUGGCUUAACCAUGGAAUUGCGAUUGAUACUGCAGAGCUUGAAUGAGGUUGAGGUUGGCGGAAUGUGACAUGUAGCGGUGAAAUGCGUAGAUAUGUCAUGGAACACCGAUUGCGAAGGCAGCUGACUGGACCUAUAUUGACGCUGAGGCACGAAAGCGUGGGGAGCGAACAGGAUUAGAUACCCCGGUAGUC
rnacentral:rRNA from 1 species